GAGGGGAUGGCUCAGUGGUAGAGCGCGUGCUUAGCAUGCGCCAGAUCCUGGGUUCAAUUCCCCAGUCCCUCCA
rnacentral:tRNA from 1 species